AUUGAACGCUGGCGGCAUGCCUUACACAUGCAAGUCGAACGGCAGCACGGGAGCAAUCCUGGUGGCGAGUGGCGAACGGGUGAGUAAUAUAUCGGAACGUGCCCAGUCGUGGGGAUAACGUAGCGAAAGCUACGCUAAUACCGCAUACGAUCUAUGGAUGAAAGCGGGGGAUCGCAAGACCUCGCGCGAUUGGAGCGGCCGAUAUCAGAUUAGGUAGUUGGUGAGGUAAAGGCUCACCAAGCCGACGAUCUGUAGCUGGUCUGAGAGGACGACCAGCCACACUGGGACUGAGACACGGCCCAGACUCCUACGGGAGGCAGCAGUGGGAAUUUUGGACAAUGGGCGCAAGCCUGAUCCAGCAAUGCCGCGUGCAGGAUGAAGGCCUGGUGUAACUGCUUUGUACGACGAACGUGAGCUCUAUACAGUUGCUAAUGACGGUACCGUAA
rnacentral:rRNA from 1 species